rnacentral:rRNA from 1 species
ACGGGAGGCAGCAGUGGGGAAUAUUGCACAAUGGGCGAAAGCCUGAUGCAGCAACGCCGCGUGAGCGAUGAAGGUCUUCGGAUCGUAAAGCUCUGUCCUUAGGGACGAAGAAAGUGACGGUACCUAAGGAGGAAGCCCCGGCUAACUACGUGCCAGCAGCCGCGGUAAUACGUAGGGGGCGAGCGUUAUCCGGAAUUAUUGGGCGUAAAGAGUACGUAGGUGGUUUUGUAAGCGUGAGGUGAAAGCGUUGAGCUCAACUCAAUCGAGCCUUAUGAACUGCAAGACUUGAGUGCAGGAGGGGAAAGUGGAAUUCCUGGUGUAGCGGUGAAAUGCGUAGAUAUCAGGAGGAACACCGGUGGCGAAGGCGACUUUCUGGACUGUAACUGACACUGAGGUACGAAAGCGUGGGGAGCAAACAGGAUUAGAUACCCUGGUA